ensembl:processed_transcript
ACAGGGCAGCACGGUGGCGCAGAGGGUAGCACGUUUGCCUCACAGCAAGAAGGUCUCUGCUUCGAGCUUCGGCUGGAUUGGUGUACGCUGAUGGUCUGCUGAGAAUUCUGCUGAGUUGAAGGGAUCCUCCUGUCAGACAACCUCUCCAAAGUACAAUAGGACUAGGUUCUUACUACAAGGAUUAGUUUUGGCUACUGCAGUCCCGGUUUGGGCCAGCCUCAUUUGUGAAGACUAAAGAUGAAGACAACAUACAAGAAAAAUUUAGAGGAUGGCGACACUUUUUAUUCCACCUAAAUAUUCCCUUUUAUGUGUAAGCAACAUUCCACAAGACAAAACAAAAGUAAAUGACAGGUUAUUUCUUUUAAUUUUGUCUGUUUUCUUGGAACAUUGUACACAAUUUACAACCAGUUAUAUAUAUAUAUAUA